rnacentral:rRNA from 1 species
GAUGAACGCUGGCGGCGUGCCUAAUACAUGCAAGUCGAGCGAACAGACGAGGAGCUUGCUCCUCUGCCGUUAGCGGCGGACGGGUGAGUAACACGUGGAUAACCUACCUAUAAGACUGGGAUAACUUCGUGAAACCGGAGCUAAUACCGGAUCAUAUAUUGAACCGCAUGGUUCAAUAGUUAAAGACGGUUUUGCUGUCACUUAUAGAUGUAUCCGCGCCGCAUUAGCUAGUUGGUAAGGUAACGGCUUACCAAGGCAACGAUGCGUAGCCGACCUGAGAGGGUGAUCGGCCACACUGGAACUGAGACACGGUCCAGACUCCUACGGGAGGCAGCAGUAGGGAAUCUUCCGCAAUGGGCGAAAGCCUGACGGAGCAACGCCGCGUGAGUGAUGAAGGUCUUCGGAUCGUAAAACUCUGUUAUUAGGGAAGAACAAAUGUGUAAGUAACUAUGCACGUCUUGACGGUACCUAAUCAGAAAGCCAUGGCUAACUACGUG